rnacentral:rRNA from 1 species
UACGUAGGGUGCAAGCGUUAAUCGGAAUUACUGGGCGUAAAGCGUGCGCAGGCGGUCUUGUAAGUCUGACGUGAAAUCCCCGGGCUCAACCUGGGAAUUGCGUUGGAGACUGCAAGGCUGGAGUCUGGCAGAGGGGGGUAGAAUUCCACGUGUAGCAGUGAAAUGCGUAGAGAUGUGGAGGAACACCGAUGGCGAAGGCAGCCCCCUGGGUCAAGACUGACGCUCAUGCACGAAAGCGUGGGGAGCAAACAGG